CGGACGCCCGCGCAUGCUCACGACCACCUGGUUCGCCUGGCGCCGUACCGAGACUGUUUACAAUUUCCUCAAAAUCGUUACAACCAGGGAAGCUUGGGGCUGUCCGGGGGUGAACCUUGGCUCUCUUGGAAACCAAAAAGAGGUCACGGCCCACGGCUAGAUCCACCUGAGAAGAACUUUGCCAGAAUCCUGCUGAGGGGAGCAAGCCCUUUAGUAUGAAAAGCACAAGCCUAACCAUUAUAUCUUAUUAAUGCACAGGGACAGUGAAGGUUUUAGAUUUUACCUGGUAUGUAAGUUAUUCCAGUAUGCCAGGAACGGGCAUAACUCUUUUUGGCCAUCAGGGGUCCUAGGUAAUUCCUAAUAAGAAAUCACCCCCGGAAGGGAAGGUCUGUCUACAAGAACUGAAGGACCUGAGAGCUGCCCCUAACUCACCAGCCAGUUUCAUUGUAAAACCCCAGGUUAUCAGAACAGAGGAACUUCAUGAGGAGCCCUAUACUUUCAUCAAAGGUAAGAAUCUUGGGUAACAAAUUCAUGAAAAUACACCUAUUAGAUCUUUAAACUGCUUCCACUAGCACCUUGUAGAAUAUGAAGAACAGCAACCCCAAGCAUCUGAAUCCCAACCACUGGGUCAAAUGGCAGACAGACAUGUUUUCCUAUCUGCUGUGAAUGACGGUGGCAAUGAAGCCUACUAUUCCACAUAGCAGCGGUGUUGAAACACACUUUUCUACGCUACGAAAACACAGCCUUGUAAAGGUUCUUUAAGCUCAAGUCGAGUUUCAAGUAAUCACUAUGCAGCAGCUCUAGGAGAAUUACUGUUCCUCCUGAUUAAAAGUAAAAUGGAAACUACGCCUUAGAGAACUGUAUUCCUCAAGGCCGCUUACUGCUUGCUUCCAGGCUUUUGUUAAAGGACAGAAUGUGUUGAAUUCUUCUCAGUUGGCAGGGGAUCAAGCACAACACUACAUAAUGAGGUAGCUGAGAACAGUUUUUCCUAUAAACACGAAGAACAAGGGAAUAAGUGCAUGUGUGAUUCUCAUCCAAUUAAACAGGAAACAUGAUGAAGCAAACUAUUUGUACAGUCAUCUUUGAACCAAGUUCCUCCGUGUAACUCGAAAAAGUGUACUUCAAGGUUCUAAGGUACACCUUGUAACUGAUGAGUGAGGGGAAUACAAAUAAAGUCCUUAAAAACUUCUACUGCAAUGCUAAAAAUGAAGUUAUAAUAAAUGUAAUUCACCAACCAGAAAGAUGAACCUAUAGCCACUUGGGGUCUGAAUUAUUUGAAGCGGCCAUUCACUUGGGUCACAGGAAGUGGCUAAGUCUUCCCCACGUGAUCUUAUGCAGUGUGUACCCAGACUCUGAGGGCUGGCAUCCCCUGCACCCUCUCUAAUUCAAAUCACAGUGAUUUAAGAAUUUGAAACAAUUCUGUUGGGCCUUGGGGACACCAAUAUCAAAAUCAGCCCAAAUUUCAGUUGAGUAGCAAUUUUAGAAGAUUAUUUUUUAUCUCAACAGGAAAAAGAAAAGGCAAC
ensembl:lncRNA